AUAGUAGUGGUUUAGUACAAGGGCGGCAGAGCACUCUUAUUAUUCUAUCCUGCUUUAUUCUAUCCUGUAAUAACUAUCUUUCUGUAAUAAACCUUUUUACCUUCAGAAGAUGAGUCUACAAGUGUUGUCUAAUUUCCACGAGAAUUUGGCGUCUCCUGGCUCAGCUGUACGAGUCUUUCAGCUUUUCUGGACAACAAGCAAACCAGAGGACACCCGUGGAAAAAUUUCACCCUGAAAGUUCGUGUUGACAUGCAGGCGGUUUGCCCUUUAUUGUGCAAAGUGAAAGACCGAUGCAGCCUUACCACUGACGUAGGAAUCAUCAAGAAACAGCCUUAAGGAGGACAGAAUGGAAGACACGUUGCCAGCAGACAUUGAUGUAUCCAGCCCAACAUCAAGUGGACCUGAUCCUAAUUUUUGUGGUUGGCAGACAACACCUCUCUCAAUUUUUGGUAGUGGGCAGGAGGGAUACAGCGAUAAGGCAGUCGGAAUGGGCACUCAUCGUAAAGGUGGAUCCUGUGCACAAAAUCCUUUGCCUCUCCACAAUCCAACUUAUCCUUGGAGAAAACAUCAUGGUAGGACACGAUAAGAUUCGCCAAAUUUCCUCUUCCACACCUCAGAAACCUCACAUCCAUCCCUGUCAAUAUCCUUCAGACCAUAGUCUCUCAGCAAUCGUUCUGGAUCAGAGGAUGAAGCAGUUUCGAAGGGGUCCGAAUCAGGAACGUGACAAUGGGUUCUAAUUAAACCCUGCAUAACAGUGAGAUUCUCCACAGCUAGACAGGAAGAAACGUCGUCCAGUUUAGUGUUACGGCGAAGAGUCACUGAUGUUGGAUUUGGGUUUAGUAUUUUCAUCAGCACCCAACAAUUGCCGCACAUUGGUGUUACUACACGUCCGACAAGGAUGUUUCUAGGCGCCGAACGUGCAGCAGUUAUUGGUGUAAUGGAUAUUUUCUAUACCUGUUACACCAAUAAUCAGUUGUAGUCAUAGCACCACCUACUGGCAACAGGAAGUGACAUGUUUUAUACUGUGAUGCACUCCUACCAACAUAUUAAAAUAUGCCAGCGAGUGGCAAAUAUUCUAGAAACAUGCUAGAAACAUGUUAGAACAUGCUAGUAACACUUGGCGAAGUGCUAAAGCACGCUAUUAAUGCCACGAAACAGGAAGUUGUUAUAAUGCAAACAUACAAUGUUCAAUCUAUACCAAACUUAUUAUAAACAUAUUUUAUAAGAAUCUGGGCUUGAGGCUAUCUACAUGCAAAUGUUCAGUUAUAGUCAUCGCGCCACCUGCUGGCAACAGAAAGUGACAUGUUUUAAACUAAUGUACUCCUAGUAAAUUCUAAACAUGCUAGCAACAUGCUAGAAACAUGUUAAAACAUACUAGCAACACUUACCUAAGUGCUAAAGCACGCUAUUACUGCUAUUCAAUUCAAUUCAGUUUUUAUUUACAGAAACAUAUAAACAUAGGAUACAUAUUUUAAGUGUGUGAAUUUAUCCCUAUUGAGCAAGUCCCAAGGUCAUAUUAGCAGCCGUAGUCCGAGCAUCCACAGCGAGAAUGUCAAUGUGGAAUUGAGGUCCAAAACCAUUUCCAUGGUACUUCAAGUGGUACCAUCCUAAGCAAUCUCCAGGCUGUAGCCUCCAGUUGAUGAGCGCUCCAUCCAGAGGUAGGGCAUCAGAAUGGAUCAGGCAGGUCCAGAGAGCAGAAAGGGUCAGGAUCACUGGCAUCUCUGUAAAAGCAUGUGUGGCUCGACAGAAGGAGAGAGGGAGAGAUUAUUAGGUAUGCUUACUAUCCUGUGAUGGGUAAGACCGUGUACUUUGCCUAAAAGAAUGUAAGAUAUUAUAUUUCUUAUCAAUAUUUCUGAGAUGAAAGAAGGCUAUCCUAGUAAUAUUAUCUACAUGAGCGUCAAAUGAAAGACUGGAGUCAAUAAUCACACCAAGGUCUUUUACUGCUGCACAUGAUGAAACAGUGUUACUGUGUAAUCAGAAAGCUUACUUCUAGCUACAUGUGGUCCUAGCACAAGUACUUCUGGUACUUGUCAGAAUUAAGUAAAAAUUAUUAAACAGUAAGUUGUUACAACUCCAGAAUACAAUGCCUAAACUAUGUUUAAUAAGGGUCCUGGCCUGAGCAGACCUACAUGCAAAUAUUCAGUUACAGUCAUCAGAAAAUAUUCAGAAAGUUGCCAUGAACAGCUACUAAAUGCAAAUUCAAUGGUUGGAAUCAACUCCAGACCAUUUAGCUCCUUAAUAUGCCAUGAAAUAACAAGGAAGCAGGCCUCACCUGGCCAUGAAACUGCUUAGCAGUCAAUUGUCCAUUUACAGUACUUUUAAGCCUGUGAAAAUGGAGGGACUUACUGAAAAUGGAGGGGCUUUUCAAAAAAUGUCUGUAAUUCCUAAAUGGUUAAUACAGUAUUUUUGUUAAACCCCUUUAAUUAAAGCUGAAAGUCGUUCAUUCAAUCACAUAUUGAUUGCUUAGUUUCAAAUCUAUUGUGGUGGUGUACAGAGGCAAAAUGAUGAAUAUUGUGUCACUGUGUAAAUACUUAUGGACCUAAUGUAUGUCUUAUACCUUCACAAGUCUUGAUUUUAUGUUAAUAAGACUGUCCUAAUGUCAUUCAAGUGGCUAUUAUUAUUAUUCUAAGGGGCCAUGUUUGAUUACAUAUUAAACAUUUUAAAAAAGCAAAUACAGAUCUAUAUUCUAACAUUAUGAAAUAAUAUCCUAAAUAGGACUCCCAUAAUAAGAUACAAUGUCUGGGUUUAUGAUUCAGGAACAUCAAAGGUUUCUAAAUAUUCUACUUUAGGGUCAAUGACUAAGAACAGUGCUGACCUAGUCCCAUCUUUUUCAACAAACAACUCUCACCAACACAAAAUUACCCCUUAUUAUCUUUGAGAUCUCCUCCCACACACUAGUGCUGACACAAUGACUUCUAAUUGAAGCAGAUGGCUCUUAUGCAAACUUAUAGUCCCGGAUUCCGGCAACCCACUUCGAUCACCUGCCUUUUUUUCGCAGGAAUCAGUCGACUUCUGAGAAGAAUGUUUCAUAUUAUGAUAAUAUGCAAUCCUGCCAAAAAAAGCAUGCAGCAUGAAUGCUUGAUUGAAAUAAAAAAUGUAAAAAGCAGAGCAUAUCCAGCAGCCAUCACUGUGCAUUUUCCUUAUUGUGCUUCUUUUUAUCUGAAUGGAUGAAGGAUUUUAGUGUGUUUUAAGUGUUUGCCCCUGACACGUGCCCUGCUCGCCGUGUCAAAACAAUGGCCUCGCUGUUCGUCAAAUUGCUGUUACCAUAGCAGCAGGAAUUAUGGAAAGAAAAGUAGAAAAGCAUCUUAAAAUAAAUUCUGGAGGAGCCAGGAGGAGUCUGCGCUUGACUCUCAGGGGACCUGGACAUGCUAUGUGGAUAGAAUUUGCACACAGGGAGCAGAGACGGCUUAUGAAAAUUGGACUCCUGGCUGUGCUUUGAGUGUAUGGCAAAGACUGACUAUAAAUAAUGAGCAUUUAUUUUGUGCAGAUGAGUAUAAAAGAGAUUUA
ensembl:lncRNA